rnacentral:rRNA from 1 species
GACGAACGCUGGCGGCGUGCCUAAUACAUGCAAGUAGAACGCUGAAGGAGGAGCUUGCUUCUCUGGAUGAGUUGCGAACGGGUGAGUAACGCGUAGGUAACCUGCCUGGUAGCGGGGGAUAACUAUUGGAAACGAUAGCUAAUACCGCAUAAGAGUAGAUGUUGCAUGACAUUUGCUUAAAAGGUGCAAUUGCAUCACUACCAGAUGGACCUGCGUUGUAUUAGCUAGUUGGUGGGGUAACGGCUUACCAAGGCGACGAUACAUAGCCGACCUGAGAGGGUGAUCUGCCACACUGGGACUGAGACACGGCCCAGACUCCUACGGGAGGCAGCAGUAGGGAAUCUUCGGCAAUGGACGGAAGUCUGACCGAGCAACGCCGCGUGAGUGAAGAAGGUUUUCGGAUCGUAAAGAUCUGUUGUAAGAGAAGAACGAGUGUGAGAGUGGAAAGUUCACACUGUGACGGUAGCUUACCAGAAAGGGACGGCUAACUACGUG